CUCACUUCCUGCCGGACUCUUAUUUGGUCGCGGGAGUUACUGCUCGGACAGGCGGCAGGUCCAGGUGUUUCUGGGUCCGCGUAGAGCUUGGGUGGGUGCUGGGCCCGAACGAGGGUCCGAGGCAGGGUGUAGGCGCCUGGGUCCCUAUCCUACCUUCCGUCCUCCCUCUUCGUGUGCAGUUCGGGCCCUUGUUGAUCCCCUCAGGAUUCCUUCGUCAAAUUCUUUUCCUUCCGACCGGCAUUUAUGGAGCGCCUGCUGUGUGCGCGGACUAAGGAGAAAGGGCUUGUGUAGGAGGAGGCUCGUGAGCCGAGUCUUAAGUAAAGCAAAAAUUUUUAAGAGGUGGGGGGAGCAUUCCAGUCAUGGGCACAACUUGGGCAAAGGCGUGGAGGUGGUAGUUGGCUAAUAACAUAUGAGAUUAGUUGUGCAGGAAUAGAAAUGGGAGCUGCAGUUGCUCUCCCCGUAUUCCUUUUAGGAGUCCAGCCUCUCUUCCCUGCUGGUGUUGCCUUGAGGUGGUCUUGGGGAAGAUUCCUUCUGGUGAAAAGAUUGGAGAACAUGCUAACACCAGCAGAAAGAAUCCUGAAUGUUAGAAGAGCUGGGCCGAGGCCUCCUUUGCCCCCAAGGCCUUGCCAUCCAGCAGAAGUCAGGACAGCUGCUGAUGCCUGUCUACACUUAACCACACUGACUGAAGUUCUUGGGGCUUUGCACAGUGAUGGCCAUGGUCAGAUGGGGCAGUUCAAGACUUCAUCCUCAACCUGAAAAUGGGAGAGUGCCAACUGUGUGAAAGCAAGAGGGCAGCAGUACCCUUUACUGCAAUGCCAGGAGUCCCCAGAUUGCCAAGUACGGGCACUCAGCAAUGACACUGGGGCUGUUUUUCUGCCAGGACAGCUAGUCCAGAAGUUGCCAUGUCAACAUCAUUGGAUUCCUAGCUUCUUUCAGCAAUAACUCCUCUUUUUUUCCUGCCACAGGAAGAUACAUGGUCUGUGGGUGACUAUAGCCGCUCACUUCUACAAAAGCUUCAUAAACUUCAGAAGCAAAAGGGAGAGUGUGGGAAAUACCCCCCAUCUCCUUGGUAUAGUGUAAUUCCAGCCUGUUGUUGCUUCUCUGCUAUAUGGGGGCCUGGGCCAAACUGCCCCAGGACCUUCCGUCAGCCUACUGCUUUGUUUCAGCCUUAUUAGAUCUUUUCCCAGCCUUAGGUGGUUUGUGAGGGGCCCGGUGCCUAUUUUGAUUUUGAGUUGCCAUUCUCAGAGCUGUCAACAUUCGAGAUCCCAGAAGUCACCAACCUUUGCCUGCCUCCUGUGAAAUUGGGAUCAAAUUUCCAUGUAAAUUAAAAUCUCUUUUAGUACUUUCACAUUCUUUGAAGUUAGGGAGAAUAUGUCCACAAAGCCUAACUCAUCGACCCGGAGUGAUCAGGCAAGCAGCAAGAGCCAUUGGGAAAGCUAGGUUACUUCCCGAAGCCUCUUCUCCCUCUGGCCCGGAAGGGGCCCCGGGACAGGCUUUGGUCCAGAGAGAAGUGAAGGAAAUGACAGACUGUGCUGCUCCCACCUUGCUCUUGGGAGGAAAGUAUUACUUUCGCCUCAAGCGGAGGCAGUUUGGGAGAGGAAUAAGUGAUAGUGUUGACCCUCAAGAGAAGGAAAAGGCCACUGAAGCAUUUUCUUUUAAGGUACAAAAGGGAGUUUGGAAGGAAACGGACAAGCCAGCUAACCUGGAGAGCAACAUGUGAAACGAGUAGAUGGGGAAGGGGGGGGGGGGCCCGGGU
ensembl:lncRNA